rnacentral:misc_RNA from 1 species
GCAAACUUGGUCAUUUAGAGGAAGUAAAAGUCGUAACAAGGUUUCCGUAGGUGAACCUGCGGAAGGAUCAUUAACAGGAAAAGGGUGCCCUCGCGGCCCCGAUUCUCAAACCACUGUUUACCAAACGUUUCGUUGCCUCGGCGGGCCGGCACCGGCUCGACUGGCGCCCCUCCCUCGGGAGGAGCAGCCCGCCGCAGGACGCUACAAAACCAUUCUGUUCGAAGAACGUCUGAUUUUACCUUCGCGAAUGCGAUAAAUACAACUUUCAACAAUGGAUCUCUUGGCUCCAGCAUCGAUGAAGAACGCAGC